GGUUCUAUUUUGUUGGUUUCUAGGAUCGCCGUAAUGAUUAAUAGGGAUAGUUGGGGGCAUUAGUAUUCAGUUGCUAGAGGUGAAAUUCUUGGAUUUACUGAAGACUAACUACUGCGAAAGCAUUUGCCAAGGAUGUUUUCAUUAAUCAAGAACGAAGGUUAGGGGAUCGAAAACGAUCAGAUACCGUUGUAGUCUUAACAGUAAACUAUGCCGACUAGGGAUCGGGCGAUGUUAUUUUUUUGACUCGCUCGGCACCUUACGAGAAAUCAAAGUCUUUGGGUUCUGG
rnacentral:rRNA from 1 species